UGAAAUUUCUAAAAAUAAAAAGUGGGGAAAAUAAGGAAACACUUCCAGAACAUUCUGCCCCCUUCCUUACCUAUAAAAGGCAGCCCUAGUACCUUGAUUAAGGAGUUUGAACCCCAAAAAUUCCCCCAAAACCCUUGGCUGCAGAUCUGAAUCUCAGAUUUGAAUUUCCGAUUCUAAUUAAGUCUAGUAUCUCAAAAACAAAACAAAAAUAGAAAAAUCUUCAAAAAAAUCGAAAAAUCAAACUAUUCCAUUGGUUUGUGUUUUAGUUUCAAGUUUAGUUGUUAGUUUGGAUUCUCUCAUUUCCGUGUUUGGUAGCUGAAAGUCAGAAACUACUUUGAAUUGGCUUAUCAAUUCAUAUUGGUAUUUAAUUGGAUUAGUGGAUGUUUGUUUCUGAUUGUUGGUUGUAUUCUGGGUUUAGUUUUGAGUUAAAUUGGUUUAUUCAAGCUGUGUGGGAGAUUUAUGGUUAUCUAUUUGGUUUCAAGCUAUUCCUGGAUUGAUGGAAUUAGAUUGGGGGUUAUUGUUGAUUUGUGCCCAUUACUGCUGCUGUGGAUUGACAAAAUACCAGUUAACUGUUCGUUGCUGAUCUCCCCAUCUUUUGUUGUAACUUCAUCCUCAGGUACACAGCUUUGACCUUGAUGAUUGUAAACUGAAGAAUGAAUCUAUGUGACAAUCGAAGCAUGAAAUUUGAUUUAGUUUCAAUUUCAUACUUGUGUAUUCGAGCACUCGUUCGUUAAUGUUAUUCAGACCUUUGAUUUUUAUUAUAUGCAUUGGACUAUAAUUGAAUGAUUUGGACUGUUAUUUGAACUUUCAAAUUUGUAGUAAUAGAUCAAACUCUAUAAUUGUAUAGUCAUAGAGAUUUGAAGAGUUUGAAGUAUUUUACAAAUUGUAUUCAGUGUACUAUGAGCUAUAUUUGUAAACUCCCUAUCAGUGUAUUUAUUAACUUGAGAACUUUUUGAAGGCCAGUUAAAAUGAGCAUUAAUGUGUGAGUUGUAGUUAACUUAGUUAGUUUGUUAGUUUAGACAUUCAAAACUGAAGAUAACUUGAACUGGAAAUUGGCUUAGGAAUUUGAUGUGCACUUUUGUUGAUGACUGAGUAUUCAAAAUGUUAGGAGUAAAUAAUUUUGCAUGUCAUUUGAUAAAGUAAGUUCAUAAUAAAUUAUAGUUUUGAAGUAAUAGCUAGUCAGUGAUUAAUUCCUGAAUUUAAGAUGGCAUGAGUAGCUUGCAGUAGUGCAUGAUUUUUAAUUCUAACGCUGUCUAAGUUUGAUUUGGGAAUCGACGUUGUUUAAAUACUUCAGACUAAUCAACGUUGAUUAUAAUUGAACUUAAAUCAGAAAGGCAUGAUCUUCAUAGGCACAAAUUAUCACUGAUCUUGUAGACACAAUUAACAAAAAUUCAUUUGUGAGGAACCAAUAAGCUCACCUGAAAUGCGUGUACUUUUGUUGAUUGUGUAUUUGACUCCAAAGAUGCUAGCUCAGCCUGAAAUUAGAUUGGGCCUGCAUUUGAAUGUAUGUAACAUUGUGAAUAAGCUUGGACGUUGCCUAUUAAUGUGGUUAAGUUCAGACACUUUUUAAGUUGGAGCUUAAGGUUUUGAGUCCUUCAAUUAAUUAGGGUCUUUUCUUUAAUUUUUUGAGACAAAAAAAAUAGAAAAUCAUAGUCACUUUAGGAUUUCCCUUUAAAUAAAAUGAGAUGAGCCUCACCAGAUAAAAAGUGCAAAAUUGCGGGGUUCAAAAAUAUAUAUAAAAUAAUACUUAGAAUUAGGGAUGGGCCAUUUAGCAAAUUUUAUGGCCCUCCUCAAAGAUAAUAAAGCGUUAGUCACUUUAAGCGCAUUUUUAAUAAUUUACUUUCUUAAACUCAGGUGCGCAUUUAUGUGACCCUAAUCCAAAUCUCAAUGGAGUCGAAAUGUAUCAACAACCACGUGUGCAUUGAUAUGACGUGGUUCGAGAUGCGUUUUCACGACGUUGCAAGUCUCGUUAAAAAUAAUAAUGAUAAAAGUGUUUCAAAACUGAAAAGCACAUAAGCUAAAACAUAUUUUGAAAUCAGAUAAAUCCAAAUAUAACAGUUGAGUGACCGUGCUAGAACCACGGAACCUGGGAAUGCCUAACACCUUCUCCCAGGUUAACAGAAUUCCUUACUCGGAUUUCUGGUUUGCGGUCUGUUAACAGAGUCAUAUUUUCCUCGGUUCGGGAUUCAACCGGUGACUUGGGACACCAUUAAUCUCCAAGUGGCGACACUGAACUUUAAUAAUUAAAUUCUGUUCCGAUUGUCCUUUAAGUGGAAAAACUAUUUUACACCCUUGCGGGUGUAGUGAAAAAGGAGGUGUGACAGCUCUGGCGACUCUGCUGGGGAUCAAACCCAGAACUUCGGGAUUCCGGUAGAUCCACGCGCACUAUGAGUUGGACUAGGAGAUGGUAUCCCAGGAGGUACACUAGAUAAUUAUAUUUGGGACUACAUGAUGGUAUCCUGGGAGAUCCUCGGUUGUUAUCUCUGAGUUGAAUUAUACUCUUUUCUAUGAUUAUUUUGUCUCUAUUAUAGUUCUUGUUGUUCCUUCUAUUCUAUGUUAUUUAUUACUGUUGCACUCAUUCUAUAAAGUUAUACCUUAUAUUUCAUUUAUUCUCAGUAGGGCCCUGAAAAUCCUCGUCACUACCUGAUCAAGGUUAGGCACGACACUUAAUGAGUACCAUUGUGGUGUACUCAUGCCUUUUCUGCACAUGUUUUUCAUGUGCAUAUCCAGGUACUUCCACUCAGCCUUAUCAUACUUGAGCAAGGCUCUUUUGUAGAUACUUCGAGGUAUAUCAGCCAGUCCGCAGACCGAGGAGUCCAUUUCUAUCCUCGGUACUAGUAUAGCCAUUCUGUAUUAUCCUUGUUGAUAGACAUUUCUGGAGUUAGAGUUUUUUAUGUAAACUCUUAGCUUGUGAUUCAUGGAGUUCUGUAUUUUGGGAGUGUUAGGUUGAUAUUUUUUUACUGUUAUAUGCCAGGCGACAUCAUAAACAUUGUUUCAUUUUAUUAUCUUAGUUUUUAAUUAUUUACUUUCCGCAACUAUUUCUUUCCACAUUUGUUAGGCUUACCUAGUCGUAGAGACUAUCACGAUAGUUUACAGGGGGCGACUUGGGGUGGUCAGAAAUUGGUAUUAGGGCUCGAGGCUCAUAUGAGUCAUGUAUCUCAAGCCAAUUAUUUAGAGUCUCGCGGAUCGGUACGACAACGUUUGUACUUAUCUAUGAGAGGCUAUGCAACUUUUAGGAAAAAUUCCAUUUCGUUUGAUUUUAUUAUCAUGCUAGAUUUUUGAUAUCACAAUUCUAAUUUUCUGUCUUCUAUUCUCUCAUAGAUGGUGAGGACACAUGCAACCCAAGAUGAUCAGGAACCCGUGCCCACUACUGUAGCCGUCAGAGGUCGGGGCAGGGUAGAGGUCGAGGACGCGCACGUGGUGCAGCCAGAGCUCCUGCACGAGCUGCUGCCGAGGAGCCAACAGCAGUUUCCAGCCAGAUCCCAGGCACCUGAUAUGCCUACUUCUACUAGUACUCCAACACUUUAGGAGACUCUAUCAUUGUUCAUGAGUUUGUACACCAUUUUGGCUUAGGCAGGAUUACUUCCCCUUGAUGUAGCAAAAUCCCAGGUCGGGGGAGGAACACAGACUCUGCCUCCUACACUCCUGAGCAGUGAGUGCAUGUAGAUCACUCCUAGAGAUUAUUCUGGAACAACAUGCAUCCCCAGAUCAGCCCGAGGACAAGGCAUCACUCUUCGAGGAUGAGUAGAUGUGGGUUGAGAGGUUCAAGAAGCACAAGCCUCCUGUAUUCAGUGGUCUAGCAUCAGAUGAUGCUCUAGGAUUUCUAGAUGAGUGCUACCGUAUUCUCUGUACCAUGGGUAUAUUAGGAAUAAGCGGGAUUUCCUUCACCGCUUUCCAGCUUCGAGGAGCUACCUAUGAGUGGUGGCAUAUUUAUGAGUUAGACAGUCCCGAUAAGGAAGCUUCUCUGACUUGGACUCAGUUUUCAGAUGUGUUCCUAAGAGAGUAUGUUCCUCAUAGCCUCAGGGACGUAUCAUGUCCAAAGUUUGAGCAUAUACACCAGGGUGCUAUGAUUGUCUCGCAGUAUGCUAUUCAUUACAUCAGCUUGGCUAGACACGAACCAGCUUUGGUUUCUACUAUUCGCGGGAGGGUUCACCGAUUUAAUUGAGGGGUUUAUUCCCAACAUCAGGUCUAUCCUGACUCGUGAGUUCGAUCUGAAUAUUUCUUAUCAGUAGGUGGUAAGCAUUGCUUGGAGGAUCAAGCGUAUGCAUGCUAGGGAUAGAAAGGAGAGAGAGGCCGAGAAGUCUCAAGAGUACCAUUUUUCUGGUGCUCGUGCCCCAGCUGUAGGUUAUCAUGGUAGGUGUUACAUAAAUUACCCUUUUCAUUCAGCUCUCACAGCAGCCAUUGGUAUCCUAGCUUCUCCUAGGCCUUAGGAACCUUAUUAUGCACCUCUAGUAUCUAGUGUGCCUCCUGCACGGGGUGCUUUUAGUGGUCAGUCCAACAGAUCUAUCCCGAGCAAGUCAUAGGCGCCACGUCCUCCUAGAGAAUGUUUUGAAAAUGAUGGUACAUUUCAUAUGGUGCGAGAUUGCCCCAAACUUAGGAGGGGGAGAAACUCUAUUAACUUCUUAGCCACAGCGUGCCUCGCGCAGUUCUCAGGCUUUGGUUACAGCUCCAGUUGCUAACCCACCAGCUCAGCCAGCUAGAGGUGGAGGUCGAGGAGGUAGGAGUCGCCCUAGAAGGGGAGGCCAGGCGAGAUAUUAUGCCCUUCCUGGUCGUACCGAGGUUGUUGCCUCUGAUUCAAUAGUCACAAGUAUGGCCUUGGUUUGUCAUAGAGAUGGAUCAGUUCUAAUCGAUCCAGGCUCCACUUAUUGAUAUGUGUCUUCUUAUUUUGCUUCGCAAUUGGGUGUAUCUCAGGAUUCUUUGAGUUCCCUUGUUUAUGUUUAUACUCCUGUAGGAGAUUCUCUUGUUGUGGACCAGAGCCGAUUUAUUGUUGCUUAGCAUGGUAGAUUUUAAUAUUAUCUUGGGCAUGGACUGAUUCUCUCCCCAUUAUGAUAUUCUUGAUUUUAAUUCCAAUACCAUGAUGCUGGCUAUGCCAGGUGUACCACGUGUUAAGCGUAGGGGUGCUUUAGAUCACACUCCUAGUAGAGUUAUUUCUUUUCUUAAGGCUCAGCAAAUGGUUGAGAAGGGGUGUGACGCAUAUCUAGCUUAUGUGAGAGAUGUCAGUAUUGAUACCCUUACAGUUGAUUUAGUGCCAGUAGUACGGGAUUUUUCUGUGUGUUUCUAUCUGAUCUUCUGGGUGUGCCGCCUGAUAGAGAUAUUGAUUUUGGUAUUAACCUGUUGCUGGGUAGUCAGCCCAUUUCUAGUCCUCCAUAUCAUAUGGAUCCUUCUGACUUGAAUGAGUUAAAGGAUCAGUUACAGGAAUUGCUUGAUAAGGGUUUUAUUAGGCCUAGUGUAUCACUGUGGGGUGCUCUUGUCUUGUUUGUGAAGAAGAAGGAUGGUUCUAUGCAUAUGUGCAUUGAUUAUCGUUAGUUGAACAAAGUUACAAUGAACAAUCGUUAUCCUUUUCAUUGUAUUGAUGAUUUGUUUGAUCGGCUAUAGGGUGCACAAGUGGUUUCUAAGAUUUACUUGCGUGCAGGUUACCAUCAGUUAAAGAUUCGGGAGACUGAUAUCCUGAAGACUGCGUUCAGGACUCGUUAUGGUCAUUACAAGUUUCUUUUUAUGUCAUUUUAGUUUACCAAUGCCCUAGCAGCCUUUAUGUAUUUGAUGCACAGUGUGUUCCGACUAUAUCUUGACUCGUUCGUCAUUGUCUUUAUUGAUGAUAUUCUGGUGUAUUUCGGGAGUCGGGAAGAUCAUGAGCAGCACUUGAGGACAGUGAUCCAGACUUUGAGAGAGAAGAAAUUAUAUGCUAAGUUCUCAAAAUGUGAGUUUUGGUUGGAUUAUGUGGUAUUCUUGGUCACUUGGUUUCUAAUGAGGGGAUAAAAGUUGAUCCGAAUAAAUUGAAAGCAGUGCAGAGUUGUCCCAGACCAUCUACAGCUAUAGAGAUCUGCAAAUUUCUUGGCUUGGCGGGUUACUACCGUCGAUUUGUUGAGGGGUUUUCAUCUAUUACAGUGCCUAUGACCAGGCUGACCUAGAAGGGUGCUCUGUUCCAGUAUACGGAAGAGUGUGAGGCAAGCUUUCAAUAGCUCAAGACUGAUUUGACAACAACCUAGUUUUAAUAUUGCGUAGAGGUUCGGGGUCUUAUACUGUCUAUUGUGAUGCCUCGAGAAUUGGCCUUAGAGCGGUAUUGAUGCAAGAUGGUAGUGUGACUGCCUAUGCAUCCAACAAGUUAACAGUACAUGAGAUGAAUUAUCUUGUCCAUAAUCUCGAGUUAGCUGCUAUUUUUCACGCGUUGAAGAUCUAGCCCCAUUAUUUGUACGGUGUGCCUUGUGACAUUUAUACUGAUCACGGGAGUUUGCAGGAUUUGUUCAUGCAAAAUGACCUUAAUUUGCAUCAGCUAAUGUGGUUAGAGUUGUUGAAGGACUAUGAUAUCACUUUUUUAUCACCCGGUCAAGGCUAAUGUGGUGGCCGAUGCUUUGAGUCAUCGGGCAGAGAGUUUGGAAAGUUUGGCUUAUUUACCAACAGCGGAGAGGCCCAUGGUGAUGGAUGUUCAGGACUUAGCCAGCCAGUUUGUGAGAUAGGAUCUUUUGGAGCCCAGUCGGAUUCUAGCUUUCAUGGUUUCUCAAUCUUCAUUAUUUGAUCGUAUCAGGGAGCGUCAGUUUAAUGACUCUCAUUUGCUUGUCCUCCAGGACAAGUUUCAGCACAGUGAUGCCAAAGAUGUGACUAUUGGUGAUGAUGGGGUAUUGAGGAUGCUAGAUCGGAUUUGUGUAACAAAUGUCGAUGGGCUUUGGGAGUUGAUUAUAUAGGAGGCCCAUAGUUCACAGUAUUCCAUUCAUCUGGGUGCCGCGAAGAUGUACCAGAAUUUGAGGCAGCACUAUUGGUAGAGGCGAAUGAAGAAAGAUAUAGUUGGUUUUGUAGCUGGGUGCCUCAAUUGUCAGCAAGUGAAGUAAGAGCACCGGAGACCGUGCAAUAUACUUCAGCAGAUAGAGAUUCUAGAGUGGAAGUGGAAGUGGGAGCGGAUCACCAUAGACUUUGUAGUUGGGCUCCCACGAAAUUUGAGGAAGUUCAAUGCCAUUUGGGUAAUUGUGGAUCGGCCGACCAAGUCCGCGCAUUUUAUUCUUGUGUGUACUACCUAUUCUUCAGAGCGUCUAGCGGAGAUUUAUAUCUGGGAGAUUGUUCCUCUGCAUGGUAUUCCAGUUUCCAUCAUUUCAGAUAGAGAUACUCACAUCAAGGUUCUGGAGGGUCGUACAACAUGAGGUGGGUAUUUGAGUGGAGUUGAGUACAAUAUUUUACCCUCACAUAGAUGGGCAGUCGAGCGGACUAUUCAGAUUAUUGAGGAUGGCUCUGUGCAUGUGUGAUUGAGUUUGGAGUGUCUUAGGAUCAGUUCUUGCCCAAUUGCGGAGUUUUCCUACAACAAUAGCUAUCAGCCUAUCAUUCAGAUGGCACCGUAUAAGGUUUUAUAUUGUAAGCAGUGUAGAUCCCCGGUGGGUUGAUUUGAGCCGGAUGAGGCUAGAUUAUUGGGCACAAACUUGGUUUAGGAUGCAUUAGAGAGAAUAAGGUGAUUCAAGAUAGACUCCAUACAGCCAAGUCCAGACAGAAGAGUUACGCGGACCGGAAGGUUCGUGUUUCCAUAUGGUUGGGGAGCGGGUUCUGCUUCAGGUUUCUCCUAUGAAGGGCGUUAUGAGAUUUGGUAAGAAAGGGAACUUGAGUACGAGUUUUAAUGACCCUUUUGAGAUAUUGAGGUAUGUUGCGGAGGUUGCUUAUAAGUUUUCCUUACCUCCCAGAUUCGCAGGAUUCCAUCCGGUAUUUCAUGUCUCAAUCCUCCAAAAGUAUCAUGGUGAUCCGUCGCACGUUUUGGAUUUUAGUUUAGUCUAGUUGGACAAGUAUCUAUCUUAUGGUGAAGAGACAGUGGCCACGUUGUACAGGCAUGUUCUAAAGCUAAGGUCAAAGAACAUUGCAUCAGUGAAGGUUCAGUGGCGGGGUCAGCCGGUCAAGGAGGCAACCUGGGAGACCGAGAAGGAUAUGCGCAACCGUUACCCUUAUUAGGGAAACGAAUUUCUAACUGUAGGAGUACGUAACGACCCGUCCAGUCGUUUAAAGAAUUUAUGCCCCGAUCCUUAUUAGGGAAUUGGAGAUUCGUAGCUUAUUUAGGGUUGACAUGCCGAAAGUUGAAUUUUUGAAGUUUAUAAUUUGAAUGUGAGAUUUUAAUAUUAGUGUCGGAAUGGGAUUCUGGAAGUUGGGUUAGCUCUAAUGUUGAAUGUGACGUGCUUGCAAAAUUUUAGGUCAUUCGGACGAGGUUUGAUAGAUGUUUUGAUCGAAAGAGUAAAUUGAUUGUUCUUAGGCUUGAAUCAAAUGUUAAAUUGGUGUUUUGAUGUUUUUUUGAGCUUUCCAAAGAUUGUAACAAGUUUGAAUGAUAUUUUAUGAUUGGUUGACAUGUUUGGUUGAGGUCCCAUGUGCCUCAGGUGCUUUUCGGAUGCUCAACGUGUCAUUUUUGGACUUAGGUAUGCAGCAGAUUUGCUGGUUUUUCUGUUACAGACUUUUGGCCUUUGCAUUCGCGAAGGGUUGAUUACCUUCGUGAAGGCUGUCCAGGGGAAGUAUAGUGAAUGCAAGGAGCAGAGCGCAUGCACAAAAAGGAAAGACUGAGCAAUUAUGGACCCCAUGGAAUUUCUCUAUGCUUUCGCGAGCAUUGGGUCGCGUUCGCGAAGGUCCUGGAGCUAAAGCUACGCGUUCGCAGGUGGACCCUCGCGUUCGCGAAAGAGAAAGUUGGCCAGUAGGAGUUUUGUGCAUCGCGUUCGUGAUUGUAGUCUCCCGUUCGUGAAAAAGAACGUGUCUGGGUAGAACUUAAAUUUCAAAUCGAGGGUCUUGAGUUCAUAUCAUAAAAUUGAAUUGGGUGCUUUGUAGGAGGUGAAUUUUGGAGAGAUUUUUGGAGGGAGUUUGUGGGCAAUGAUUUGUAUCCCUUGUUUGCUUAUAAUCCUUUAAUCUAAAGAUGAAUUAAUCAUCUAAUUUUGGAUUUGGGUUGAGAAAUUGGGCGGGGNNNNNNNNNNNNNNNNNNNNNNNNNNNNNNNNNNNNNNNNNNNNNNNNNNNNNNNNNNNNNNNNNNNNNNNNNNNNNNNNNNNNNNNNNNNNNNNNNNNNNNNNNNNNNNNNNNNNNNNNNNNNNNNNNNNNNNNNNNNNNNNNNNNNNNNNNNNNNNNNNNNNNNNNNNNNNNNNNNNNNNNNNNNNNNNNNNNNNNNNNNNNNNNNNNNNNNNNNNNNNNNNNNNNNNNNNNNNNNNNNNNNNNNNNNNNNNNNNNNNNNNNNNNNNNNNNNNNNNNNNNNNNNNNNNNNNNNNNNNNNNNNNNNNNNNNNNNNNNNNNNNNNNNNNNNNNNNNNNNNNNNNNNNNNNNNNNNNNNNNNNNNNNNNNNNNNNNNNNNNNNNNNNNNNNNNNNNNNNNNNNNNNNNNNNNNNNNNNNNNNNNNNNNNNNNNNNNNNNNNNNNNNNNNNNNNNNNNNNNNNNNNNNNNNNNNNNNNNNNNNNNNNNNNNNNNNNNNNNNNNNNNNNNNNNNNNNNNNNNNNNNNNNNNNNNNNNNNGGGGGGGGAAUUUGAAAAAGUUCAUAGACAUAAAUUUCAAGUUUUGAUUAGGAAUUAGACAUUGGAUUUGGAUAAUUUUUGUAUGGAUAGACUCGUGAGAGUAUGAGGAUUCUGAAAAUGUAAAUUAUAACUGAUUCUGAUAUGUGGGACUGGGGGUAUUUUUGUAAUUUUAUCUGAUUUCCCGUAUCAACAUAGAAUUUAUUUGUAGAAUUAGUUACUUGAAGUUAUAUUUAUAUUAUGCAAUUGAAUUAAAUAGAUUCGGUCCAUUUGGAGUCGAGUACUCGUGGAAAGAACGUGGUUUUGUGUUAAUUUUGUAUCGGUUUGAGGUAAGUGGCUUGCCUAACCUUGUGUGGGGUAAUUCCACUUAGGAUUUGGUAUUAUUGAUAUUUGAAAUUCCUUGUAGGGUGAGGUGAUGAGUACGUACUUGUGCUAAUUGUUGAAAAUCCGAUUUUUAUUAAGCAAUUAUCAUCGUGUUUUCUUUCCUAUUUAUACUACUCGUGAUUCAAUACAAUUGUUAGUUUGGGAAAGCAUGUCUAAUUUACUUAAUUGCUUUUAUUGCUCAAACUACCUAAUUUGGAUUAUGUGCAUUAUGCUAGGCUAGAAAUACUAGUUUUACCUUGGCAUAGACUUUUAGUUGAAUUAUGUGUUCUUCGUGUUGUUGCUGUGUGCUUACUUUGGGACUACGGAUUUAGAUUGCGGGAGAUCCCCCUGCACCUUUACAUUGAAACUACGGGACUGCACCCACUAGAUUCUCCCAGUACUGAGUAUUCAUAUUUGGGACUACGGAUCAGAAUUCUGGUAGAUACCCGCGCAUUAGUUGGACAAUGGGACGGUAUCCCGUAAGGUCCACUAGAUAAUUCUAUUUCGGACUACAGGACAAUAUCCUGGGAGAUCCCUAGUUAUUAUCUCUGAGUGGAGUUGUACUCCUUUCCAUGGUUAUUUUAUCUCUGUUAUAGAUAUUGUUGUUCCUUCUAUUCUGUGUUAUUUAUUACGGUUACACUUAAUGACAUUGUCUCAUUCUAUACUGUUAUACCUUAUAUUUCAUUUAAUAUCAAUAGGGCUCUGAAUUUCCUCGGCCCUACUCGAUCGAGCUUAUGCUUGGCACUUACUGAGUACCAUUGUGGUGUACUCAUGCCCUUUCUUCGCAUGUUUUUCAUGUUCAGAUCUAGGUACUUCCACUCAGUCUUAUUGUCACACCUCCUUUUUCCUUCACCCCCGAAAGGUAUAAGGGACUUUUUAAUUAAAGGACAAUCAAAACAGUAUUAUUAUUUAUGAAUCAAAGCCACCACUUGGGAUAAUUUGAUGGUGUCCCAAAUCAUCGGUUCAAAUCCCGACUCGAGGAAAAGGUUGACUCUGUUUUACAGUCCACAAAUACAGAAAUCCUGGUAAGGAUUCUACUAACAUGGAAGAAGGUGUUAGGCGUUCCCAAGUUUUAUGGUUCUAGCAUGGUCGCUCAACUGUUAUUAUUAUCCUAAUUAUCUUAUUAUAAAAUACUUUAAAACCUAUGUGCAUUUUAGCUUUAAAUCGCUUUAAAUUUUUUUAAGUAAGAGUUUAACGUCGGCUAAAAUAUAUUUUUUGGACUGCGCCACAAGAAAUUCACCCGCAAUCCGAAACACAUUUUAUUCAACAUUGUAUAGACUUGAAUGUAGAACACAUGAAGUGCACACUCGAAUUUAUGAAGGUAAUUUUAAUAUUAUGCCCCUACAGCAACUAUGCGGUUUUUUUCUAAACUUUGUGAGGGACAUGGAAAAUUUUAUGAAUGGCGCGCCUCGAGUUCUAAGGAUUUAAAAGAAAUAAUUAAAUUAGGACCACGUAUUUGAUAUUUUAUUUGGCACGGCGCACCUUAAAUCCAAUUUUUAAAGGAAAUUCAAAAUCAAACUCUUAAGGCCAUAACUAUAUUUGCUAAGAUGGCACACCUUAACUAAUUCUCCAAAAUUCCUUAUUUUAAAACCAUGAGGGUCAUAGACUAUCUCUACUAAUAUGGCAUACCCUGAAACUAAUUUAAUUGUAGUACUUCUAGCCCCCUUUUUAACAUGUUAUCUAAGCAAGAAAACUUUGCGUAAAAGAAACUAAACAGAAAGAAACAGAUAUGUUAUUAACUGGCUCGUACAAUUGCAACCAUGCGGGAUAAGAUAGAAGAAGGCAGGCCCAAUGCAAUGGAGGCCUGCAAAUCGACUUCAUGUAGUAUCUUGACCCAAGGCCCAAAGAAGGGUCUAAAUUUAGCAGUAAAUCCUGAAGAAGAAAAAAGACUCGAGUUCGAGUCCCCAGGUCAUGUAAGGAGAAUACCAAAUUAGAAAUGUGAUCCUAGCAAGGCCUUUGAUAACUAACUAUCCUUUGACAAUUGCGCUUCAGUUAAUUCUACAUGGGCAAUUAUGUCAAAUUUCCAGUACAAUUUGAGCCUAUUUUCAUGCGUAAUGUCAAAUAAAAUCUUAUGGGUCUAUCUAAUAGAUACAAGUCCUAACAUUAAAUGAAAACUAACAUGUUUUUGCAACAUAAAUAAAUCAAUGCACAGCCUGCCUUUUAAGGUAACUUGGAUCAUUUUCCCUUUCUUCUAGCACGACUUAUAUUGGUUACUACUUAAAAAGAAUUCAGUCCCUCAUUACAUGAAUGUGGAAAAAUUGAUCUACAAGGGAAUAUGCUGUAACAAUCAGAUACACUGCUUAGCAAGAGGAUACAUACACAAUCACACCAUUUAGCAUGAUCUAACUACAUAUGCAACCAAAUAAGCUAUGUACCAAUUUUUUUCAGAAUACUUUCAAAUAUUCAAUCUCGAACUACAGGAUACUUUCUAGAAGACUGAUCUCCCAUCAGAUAAUAUGCACUACAUCUUUCAGGUGAUAUUGACAUAAUCCAACAGAAUAUAAUGCAUCAUGCAAAAUCAGCAAAUAAAAAAUAAAUAAAACUAAGCUACUGAACAGAGCAAAUUGAAGUUGUGUUUGAACUCCCAAUUUUAUUUCAUACUUCAAACAAUCUUCACAUGAUAUAGGAUUCAAGAGCAAGUACCUGAUUAUAGCAAAAUAAACCAGAGAAACCAAAGUUGGAGUCAGUAAACAGCAACAGAAAAAUCAGCCUCCAAGAAUGACUAACAACAGGGAAAUCCACUUCUUCCCGCCAAGGAAAAACCCAGAUGAACAACAUACAAUAGCAAUCUGACUAGCUAAGAAUUUUUUAAAACAAAAUUGGACCAGCCUUGUCCAAAAAUGCAAGAAAUGCAUUAUUCUCUCGGAAUUCCUUAGGCUCAGCCAUUUUCCUUCAAAAUUUUCAUAGUGUUUUUUUCUUCUCUCUCAAUGAAUGGAAAGAAAACUUAUAUAGGCAUGCCAAGGGCGGCCCUAAUACAUCUAGCCAAUUCCCCAUUUACCCUUCCCUUUACAAAAAUAUCUGACACUUUCAACUCUUAUCAUAUUCUUUAGAACCUUCUAUCCUAAAAGAAUUUGAUUCCCCCCCCCCCUAUUGCGCGCACGCGCGCGCGCACACACAAGCACACACACACACGGUGACCUUACACUAACUGGUUAUUACAAUCUUUGCCCCUCCCCCCUAAGACCCCUCUAAGUUUCUAUACUUAGCAUUAACCCUCAUAUGGAUCCCUGA
rnacentral:lncRNA from 1 species